rnacentral:misc_RNA from 1 species
CGUCCUUCUAACACUCCAAAGGCCCAAGGACCCACGAUAAAGUUGCAAUUCUAGCUGCAUUGUUCGCACACAUGGUCUAAGCACAUCUGUUUGCCAGAAGAGACUUUCUAAUUCCAGAAGUACUUUCGGCCGGUUUUUAGAAAGGUCCUUGGGUUUAUUAUGUGCUCUGAAGAAUUACGAAGAAAGCGGAGAUAUACCUAACGAAAAAUCUGAGUUUCCCGGUAAACAAUGUCGCCUAGGACCCAAAUUGGUAGGAGGUUUCUUCCUCCUCUCUUCCUUCCUAACAUUGGUCCCAACCAAUCGACAUCGCGGAUUAUUGCCCUCACUUUACUAACUAAAAAUGUAAGCAACGAAUCCGCGUUCUUCGUUCAAAGGGCACACCCAUACCAAGCUUUCCUCCUUAUUCACAUUAGAAUAAGCUUCAGAGUUUUCCAUCGUCUCUCACGGUGACUAGAGUUCCUGCAUUCCCUAUAACUGUCACCGUUCCUAUAUCUCUCACAUUUUCCUACCACAGUCAAAGAUCUAACGCCUAACUUCUAACAUUAAGUCUCAUACCGUUCUAAGUUAUUAAGUGUUUAUAUCUAUUCAAUCGUGUAUACUAAGUGUUGGAAAUAUAAAUUUUAACUCUGUGAGCCACAGUGUUAUCAUACCUGAAUCACCC